rnacentral:tRNA from 1 species
GCCUGGGUGGCUCAGUUGGUUGAGUGUCCGACUUCGGCUCAGGUCAUGAUCUCACGGUUCAUGGGUUCAAGCCCCAUGUCGGGCU